CCUACGGGUGGCAGCAGUGAGGAAUAUUGGUCAAUGGACGAGAGUCUGAACCAGCCAAGUAGCGUGAAGGAUGACUGCCCUAUGGGUUGUAAACUUCUUUUAUAUGGGAAUAAACUGUUCCACGUGUGGGAUUUUGUAUGUACCAUAUGCAUAAGGAUCGGCUAACUCCGUGCCAGCAGCCGCGGUAAUACGGAGGAUCCGAGCGUUAUCCGGAUUUAUUGGGUUUAAAGGGAGCGUAGGUGGAUUGUUAAGUCAGUUGUGAAAGUUUGCGGCUCAACCGUAAAAUUGCAGUUGAAACUGGCAGUCUUGAGUACAGUAGAGGUAGGCGGAAUUCGUGGUGUAGCGGUGAAAUGCUUAGAUAUCACGAAGAACUCCGAUUGCGAAGGCAGUUCACUGGACUGCAACUGACACUGAGGCUCGAAAGUGUGGGUAUCAAACAGGAUUAGAUACCCUAGUAGUC
rnacentral:rRNA from 1 species